UGAGUAACCUGCCCUUAACUCUGGGAUAAGCCUGGGAAACUGGGUCUAAUACCGGAUAUGACUCUUCAUCGCAUGGUGGGGGGUGGAAAGCUUUUUGUGGUUUUGGAUGGACUCGCGGCCUAUCAGCUUGUUGGUGAGGUAAUGGCUCACCAAGGCGACGACGGGUAGCCGGCCUGAGAGGGUGACCGGCCACACUGGGACUGAGACACGGCCCAGACUCCGUACGGGAGGCAG
rnacentral:rRNA from 1 species